rnacentral:misc_RNA from 1 species
AAGUCGUAACAAGGUUUCCGUAGGUGAACCUGCGGAAGGAUCAUUAUUGAAUAAACCUGAUGUGGUUGUUGCUGGCUCUUUCGGGAGUAUGUGCACGCCCGUCAUCUUUAUAUUUCCACCUGUGCACCUUUUGUAGACCCGCGCGACUUGAGCAAUCAAGUCAAGUAGGCCUACGUUUUAUCAUAUACCCCAUAGUAUGUAUCAGAAUGUAUCAGUGGGCUUUGUGCCUAUAAACACUAUACAACUUUCAGCAACGGAUCUCUUGGCUCUC